rnacentral:rRNA from 1 species
UACGUAGGUGACCAGCGUUGUCCGGAUUUACUGGGCGUAAAGAGCGCGCAGGCGGUCGUUCAAGUCGAGUGUGAAAGCCCCCGGCUCAACUGGGGAGGGUCACUCGAUACUGAUCGACUUGAAGGCAGGAGAGGGAAGCGGAAUUCCCGGUGUAGUGGUGAAAUGCGUAGAUAUCGGGAGGAACACCAGUGGCGAAGGCGGCUUCCUGGCCUGUUUCUUGACGCCGAGGCGCGAAAGCUAGGGGAGCAAACGGG